GACCGCGUAGCUCAGUUGGCAGAGCAUUGGGCUAGUAUUCCAAAGGUCUUAGGUUCGAUUCCCACCGUGGCCA